rnacentral:rRNA from 1 species
UACGUAGGGUGCGAGCGUUGUCCGGAUUUAUUGGGCGUAAAGAGCUCGUAGGCGGUUUGUCGCGUCGGCCGUGAAAUCUCCACGCUUAACGUGGAGCGUGCGGUCGAUACGGGCAGACUUGAGUUCGGUAGGGGAGACUGGAAUUCCUGGUGUAGCGGUGAAAUGCGCAGAGAUCCGGAAGAACACCGGUGGCGAAGGCGGCCUGACUGG